GGCAUAAAUUACAGCAAGGGGAAAAAUAACCGACUUCAUGUUUUCUUGUCCAUCAGUCACCAUCUGCAAAGAUUAUGAUUUUAACAGCAUUACUGUUCAAGCAACCCAAUGGAAGGUGGCAAGAAGAAAAGCCCUACUAAAAAGUUGACACGAAAACAGUUGUCUGCCUUGAAAGACUGCCUCCUCACCCACAGCAUCUCUGAGGUAGAGCCUAGAGGACCCCAAAAAGAACCUGGAG